UUACUUGAACGGUAUAAAUUUAAAAAAUAUAAUUUAUUAAAUAUUUUUAAAUAUUAAUUUAGUUAUAAAUAUAAAAUAAUUAAAUUUUAAAUUUUGAAUCUCGAAUAUUAAUUACCAAGUUGUUAACUAAUUAUAUUAUAUACGAUAAUUUUUUAAUCACUGCUGAUCUGACAAGCUCUACAGCAAUACUUUAAAUCAAUUUUAUUUAUAGACUAAUUGUAUAAAAAAAAAUUUAUAUCUGUAGACAUAUUUUGUCUUAAUUUUUUGAAAGUUAAAAUUUACGCACUUGUUUAGUUAGUUCUUUAAAAUAAAAAUUACAUAAAAUUUUUUUAAACUUCAAAUUAUAGUGUAAGAUAUAUAUAUAUUCUAUAAUAGUGUGUGUAAUUAUUAUUUUUUUUAGAUUAAUAAGUGCAUGAAUCAAAAUUAAUUUUUUGAAAAAUAUAUUAUGAUAAUUAAAUAAUAUUUGA
rnacentral:lncRNA from 1 species